rnacentral:tRNA from 1 species
UGUGGUAAGAACGGGAUU